UCCCUCUGUGGUCCAUGGGGAUAAGGUCAUGGUGGUCAAAAGCAGGGAAAUCUCUCCUGGUAAGGCAAUUUGCAGUGUAUUCCCAGUUACCUCCAGUGAAAAUGAAAUGUGUCCCAAGAGGGCACAGCCUUGCCUAACUGAUUAAUUACCGUGUGGAGAUGUGUUUCAGGCAGCUUCAUAUAUUGUACAACAGGAGGUUUCAUAUAGCAUUGAAGCUAAAUCAGUGACUAAAAUCCUACUGUCAGAGUCUGCAAAGAGCCAGCUGCCAUGUCCAUAUGCACAAUCGUGGUGGUAUUGCCUUUCAGUGUCCCAAAGGACGCACAACUUUUGGCCAUGGAUGUCAGGACACAAGGUCACAUAAAUCUGAGCGGCAUAAGGAAAGCCCAUCAGCUGAGCCAGACCACUUCAAUAAACCUACAGUUCCCAACAUUUACUAUUCUGGGACAAAGCAGCCAUAACUGCUGCAUUUAGACUGACUUUGAAAGGCUCCUAUUUAAAUCCAGGCAGACACCGCUGAAGCCAACACAAGUGGCAAAAAGGCAUGUGGGUGCCUGGCAUUUUCCCAUGUGGUGCUCCAGUUGCCCACUCAGAAUAUGUGAAACCCAAUGUUCCAUUUACCAGAAAUGGUCUGGAAGGGCUGAAUUGCCUGUGACUAUUUGUGGAAAAGGCCUCUCAACCCAAAGCAUUGGCCCAAAACCCAGCACACAGAAAUCCACUUACCCUGAAGUGGGGUGCGCUAGCCACAGUGCUAACGAACACAACCGGCAGAGUUGCCUCUCACUAUGCUAAACAGCCAGUGAGCACAGACAUUCUACUUUCUGCACUCGGGGAGGCACCGGAGAAAGGUGUGAUACCUCUCAUGCUGAGAAGGACCCUGUAUGCCCCCUUGCUCAGAGAGCACUUGCAGGGAGCAGAGCUUGGUGCUGGGGAGCUGCUGCAUUAGCCCUCAUUUCAGGGACUGGACUAGAUCCCCAAAACAGUUCCUGCCUUGAGGUUUGCAGAACAAUAGUCCUUUCAAUUAGCGGUUAAAACCAGUAUCUUUGAAAAAUCUGGUUAUUUCUGGUUUUCAAUUGGCAUAGAUAAUAGUUUGUUACCCUUUUUCUUAUAAGCUGGUUUUAGAGUAAGCAUUUUCAUCUUACUGAGCUCUUUUUAAUUAAAUACUUUGUUCUUACUGAACUGAUGCUCAAGCUUGUCUGAAACUAGUUGGAUUUCUAUUCAGUUAUUAAUAUGCCUAAGUAAGUAUUGCAAACAAAGGGAAGAUGUGUAAAGGUACUUCCAAACAGGAGAAUUGACUGGGAUCUGCUUCCACAUUCAAUCUUCAGCUGCUGCAGCACAAAAACUAAACUUCCCCGUAAAACUGAAACACAAGAAUCUAAUGUUGUUUAUGAGAUUGUUCUCAAAAGAAAGGAAGUGAUGACCAAAGUUAAAGGAAGCACAGGUUCUCCCUCUUAUCCCAGCAGGACACAACUCAGACAUGAGGAGAAAGAAAGGAUCACUGCUGAACUUUAAAGCCUAAAAAUAACUAAGUCAGAGAAAGGUCCAGAAAUCUUUUGGUCCUUAGCUCAAACCUUGUAGUAAGAAAGAGCAAAAUUAAAGAGCAGUAGGUACUAGACAAACCCUGUCAAGCACAGUUGGAGCAAAGAGUCAGAGGUAUUCCUGCUGCCAGUGCUGGGAGGAGCAGGAUUUUCAGCCUCCCCAAGGUGGCCAUGCUUGCAGGGACAAGGACAUGAGUGGUGCCUGGGAGAGGGAGAGCACUGGGCUCUCUCCUGCACUAGGCUCUGCCUUCUCCCUUUGCAUCGCAGCACUGGGCAGAAGCAAGUCCCAGUAACACCUUGGAUGCUGAUGUUCGGGAGUGCCACAUACCCACGUGUCUGCAGUGGUAGCUGAUGCCUUGGCAGCCAGCUGACUCUUAAAAAUAGCCUGGAGGGGAAGGGAGAGGCAGGUGCUCUCUGGUUUUCACUCUGGUCCUUCAACUGCAGGCUCAGGAGAGGCUGUUUCAGCCUGUCUAGUGAAGAGCAGGCUAUCAAGAGUAGAUCCAGGGUUUUGUGCCAUAGAAGUACCAAAGUGAGUCUGACUGGUCUGUCUUCAUGCACAUCAUUCUCCGUUUCCUGCUGUUGUUUGCUCUUCUCCAGUUUGCUGUGAUCUCCCCUUCCACCCUCGUUGCACACUCAAAGAUAAUAGCUAAUGGUCCAAGGAGUGCUUCAUCUGGUCCCUCAGGGACACAGACCAGUUGGCCACUAAAAGUAUUCUACAAAGGAGAUGAGAAAGGAUUGCAGUUUGAUAAGAUAAAGAGCAUUGUUCUUCCAUUUGCUUGUCACUUUGAUAUAAAUGUGAUUUCUCCUGGAUAUAGAAUCUUUUAUCUUUCCCCUUUCUGCCCUGCUCUACUGCUGUGGGAAGGCUUGCAAUACUUAAUCUGUGCCUAGGUGUAGUUCCACAUCCUUUGGGAGCAUUUUGUCUCCUGGACCCUGGUCCCAAGUUCAGUGAAUAAAACCCAAGAAUUUUUGGAGAGAAAAUUUUACGUUU